UGCAUACUGCUUAAUUGAGCUUCAAUUAUUGUAUAUAGUUUGUAACACUAGCUAUGUUUGUUUGUUUGUUUGUUUUAUACUGUAGAUGUAUUCAAUUGUUGUUUUCACGGAAAAAAGAGAGAGGUUAUACCAAGUGACUGGCUGAGCAUCGAUAACAUUUUUUCCUUUUGGCCCCCAUAUAAUACUACUAAAUGUAGAAAAGCGGUUGAAAAAAAUGAAACCCCCGAUGAAGAAUGGGAAGAAUAUAUAACUGAAUGUGUGGCUGAGUAUGAUUCCUAUGAAAAAGCCCGAAGGAAGCUUGUGAAGUUCUGCAAAGGCAACUCAACAAGUAGGCUCCACACAGAGACAAUGGAAAGACCAAAAAAGAAAUUGUGCAAUAAUGGAGCCAAAAGCCAGACCUUGCCAGCCACCAUUUCCAUUUCCACCAUCAACACCAGAGACAGUCCCAGAUCUAAGACAAGAUGAAAGAGAACUCCGACUCUUUCAGAUGCUAGAGGAGAUAAAAGGCCAAGUCAGACAAAAUUCUCUUCUGCUUCAGGCAAUUUUGAGAAGAGACAGUGUCACUGAAGUCAGCAGUUUUCCAGAUUUUGAGUUUCCUCUACAAAAUAUUAAUGAUAUAAAAAAAUGGAGGACCGGCUUUCUGACAAGGAAACACGGCGCUCUCUGGUAAAACAUCUCAUGAGUUUGGGUGGGACAACAACAAAAGAUAUAAUAUACAGGAUCAUGCGUGAAACAAUCAGCAAUGAUUUAGCGAAAAAGUUUAACUGGAUGGGCAGGGGGCAGAAAAGUCCUUUCUCUGUGUUGAACCUGGCAAAAGUCAUCAUAGAUGCUGCCAAAAAACAAGGGGCCACCUUAAUGGAGGCAGAAGAAAAGAUAAAAACAUGGCUGAAAUACAGCAGUGACCGAAAUGGAGGAAGAAAAAGGAGAUCAGAAAAGGAGAGGCAGACGCAUCCCCCAUCACAUCCUCCAUCUGACAUCAGCAGUGAAUCCGAGGUGUUGUCGAGGUGAAAUAUCUGACAUUGAGCAGAACUGAUUGAUGACCCAUCAACCCUUGUGGAUCUCACCACAUAAAUGUUUAUUAUUAAAUCAAUAUGUAUUAUUAAAUGUAUUUAUUUUAACCCUUAA